rnacentral:rRNA from 1 species
UGGGGAAUUUUGGACAAUGGGCGAAAGCCUGAUCCAGCAAUGCCGCGUGUGUGAAGAAGGCCUUCGGGUUGUAAAGCACUUUUGUCCGGAAAGAAAUCCUUGGCUCUAAUACAGUCGGGGGAUACGGUACCGGAAGAAUAAGCACCGGCUAACUACGUGCCAGCAGCCGCGGUAAUACGUAGGGUGCAAGCGUUAAUCGGAAUUACUGGGCGUAAAGCGUGCGCAGGCGGUUUGCUAAGACCGAUGUGAAAUCCCCGGGCUCAACCUGGGAACUGCAUUGGUGACUGGCAGGCUAGAGUAUGGCAGAGGGGGGUAGAAUUCCACGUGUAGCAGUGAAAGUGCGUAGAGAUGUGGAGGAAUACCGAUGGCGAAGGCAGCCCCC